rnacentral:rRNA from 1 species
UCCGGUUGAUCCUGCCGGACCUUACUGCUAUCGGGAUAGGACUAAGACACGUUAGUCGAGCGUUUCUCAGCUAUGAAAGAAACGCGGCAGACGGCUCAGUAACAUGUGGCUAACCUGCCCUUAGGACGGAGAUAACCCCGGGAAACUGGGGCUAAUAUUUGAUAGGUGUGGACUCCUGGAAUGGAUCCACACUCAAAGGGUGCUUAGAUCAUGCUUUAAGCGUCGCCUAAGGAUGGGGCCGCAGCCGAUCAGGUUGUUGGCGAGGUAACGGCUCACCAAGCCUAUAACCGGUACGGGCCGCGGGAGCGGUAGCCCGGAGAUGGACACUGAGACAAGGGUCCAGGCCCUACGGGGCGCAGCAGUCGCGAAAACUCCGCAAUACACGAAAGUGUGACGGGGCUAUCCCGAGUGCCGUCCGCUGAGGAUGGCUUUUCUCCAGUGUAAGGAGCUGGAGGAAUAAGGAGAGGGCAAGUCUGGUGUCAGCCGCCGCGGUAAUACCAGCUCUCCGAGUGGUAAGGAUGUUUAUUGGGCCUAAAGCGUCCGUAGCCGGUUCAGCAAGUCCUCCGUUAAAUCCAGCGAUUCAAUCGUUGGACUGCGGGGGAUACUGUUGGACUAGGGGACGGGAGAGGCCGACGGUAUUCCCGGAGUAGGGGUGAAAUCCUAUAAUCCCCGGGAGGACCACCAGUGGGCGAAGGGCUGUCGGCUAGAACGAGCCCGACGGUGAGGGACGAAAGCUGGGGGAGCGAACCGGAUUAGAUACCCGGGUAGUCCCAGCUGUAAACGAUGCGGGCUAGGUGUUAGGGUGGCUACGAGCCACUCUAGUGCCGCAGCGAAGGCGUUAAGCCCGCCGCCUGGGGAGUACGGCCGCAAGGCUGAAACUUAAAGGAAUUGGCGGGGGAGCAC